CUUUCCUCUGUGUUUCUGACUAGAUGGUACCAGAAGAGGAACACAGACAGGAUUCAAGAUAGUGGAACCAGGGUUAUUGUUCUCUGAAGCUCUAUGAGAAGAUGAGGUCCCAUCGGGGAUGGCCCUACCCUCCGCACUGUGUCUAGCUUUUCUUCUACUAGUCCCAGUGAUGGACAGCAACCCAUGGGAAGUGCUUGCCUGUGGACCGGAGAGGCAAAACUUCCUGUGGAUUCCACACAUACCCCACCCGCUAGACUCACUUCGGCUGUGGUCAAUGGGAUUCUGAGGACUUACACUUCCUGCUCUAGGAGUGACUGGCUGGCUAUCCACUGUGUAUAAAGGUUCUCGAAGCUUACAAGUGAAGGGGUAACUGUGACGACAUUCCUAUGCGAACCAGCUUCCUUUUUAUUUUUGAGGAGGACUGAGGCUGCUUUCCCGAAUGUGAGAAAGUCAAAGCACCACCUGGCACAAUGAGUUUCUUUGCUCGAAUUCUGGCAGAACCUGUGGCCGGUACAAGGAAGACUUAGGUCUGCACUAGCUGGUAAGGAGAUACCACAAAGGCAGAGUGCAUAUCUCUUAACCUUGGUCACUGGAGAGUAAUCGACUGCUACAUAGCUGGCAGGGGAAGGACUGCCAAUGCCAAAACACACAGAUGAGUGCUCCCUGACAUCAGUACUCAGCUGGAAUACAACCCCAAGCCAGGAUGCACGUUACCGCAUAGAUUGUAAAGGAUCGUAUGGGCUUAUUUCGGAAAAUGACCAUCACUUGAGGCAUAAUUUUCAUAAUUUAUAUCUCCUGUUCUAAACAAACAAACUAAAAUUGUAUUGGGUUGGAAUACACGAGAACUGUGGCUUUAUGGGACAGAACUUCUUCUGAAAUUGUUGCACUCGUAGGCUUCAGUUUUCAUCUUUUUCUAGAUUCACAUCUCUGGGUGAGAGUCCAAAUAAGUAUAUUAAUUAUAAUGUUAGAAAUGAAAUUUUAUAAAUUAAAAAGGCUUUUAACUUUAUUAUUCAAAAAAGUCUUGAAAAUAAAAAACAUUACACAACUGAUACUAGCCAGAUCCAAAGUCUAUACGUCUCAGUAAAUUUCUAUACACUUAGAAUGCUCAUCCUGAUGCUGCGGGGCUUCACACGUGGCCUUUACUGACUCACUGCCUAACAUACUUUUAUGCACUUAUCCACCACCAACACCAAAAACUCCAUGACAGAGAACUGGAAAACCAAUUAGUUUUAUAUCCUUUCUCAUAAUUCAUUCCCCAUUACCCGCAUUCAGUCCUUCUGCCUCCCCUAAUAUUUAGUCUUUCUUGUUCUCUCUUCUGCCUGUUGUACCGUACAAGGUUUAACAGUGGCUGGUUAAUUAACGAGUCCCAAUUGUAACCUUAGAGAGUAAAUCUGUUCUAAUGAUUGAUUUACAUAGCAAAAAUGCCCCCCCCCAUCUCCUGAACAAUUUCUUGUAGAAAAUCUGCUCCUACCGGGUAAAUCACAUUUCUUUGCAAAAACUGAGGUCGGGGGAGCUAUGAAAACAGCGAGGGCCAACUGCUUUGCAGCAGAAUGUUGACCAACCUCUUCUUUAAUCAAGACUUAAUUAAAAAAAAUCUUCUGUCUACUCACUGCAAGUAAACAUCUUCAGUCCCAUGUACUGCUACCACUACUUUGUCUCAUUCAUCUUCAGUUGUAUUUGAUUCUGGUCAAAGGAUGAACUGACCUCGGUUUGUCAAGGACACCCGUCCACAGAGACUCUCACAAGGACACCCUGAGUCAUUAUCUCUCCCGUUGAAAGAAUGGAGGGGCUGAGUUACUCUUUUUAGAAUCCCUUUAAUUAUUCUUUAGAGUUCUCUGAAGAACUCAUGCAAGGACAUGGCUAAAAGACUCUUCUGCAAUUUCUGAAGAAACUUCAUAGAAUAACCUAGAAAAACUCCUGACAGCCACCAAGUAAGGUUGGUAUUGAUCAAACAAGGUAUUGUUUAGGGCUUUCCUGGAACUUUUUCAUUGAACAAAAGCAUUUUUUCCAUGUGAAAAUUGAAAGUUUCUAAUAAGAAUUAAAUAUAUUAAUAAGGUAGUUAUAUUUUUAACAAAUUGACUCAGUUUUCAAUUGUUUAAGUAAUGUAUGUAUGUAUGUGUAUAUGUGUUUAAGUAUGUAUGUACAUGUAUAUGUGUGUAUGUGUACAUAGAUUGGAAACUUGUCACUCAUUCUUAUUUAAAAUGCUAUUUUGUAAUCUUUUCAUUACCAGAAUAGUGGACAACCAUUUUGCUAUAUUUAAGUAAAUAAUAAUUUCUUGAAUUCAUCUAUUAACCUUAUGAAAAUAUUUAAGAACUGUAACCUUGUACAUAUUUAACAAACUAUUAUCUUGAAGUUCCCAUUUAACCAAAGUUAUAGUUUUUGGAAUUUCUCUCUUGAAAUUUCUUAGUGUUUUAUAGAUCUCUAAAAAAAUUGAAAACAACUAUUUAAUUG
rnacentral:lncRNA from 1 species